AGGGACUUUAAACUGAGAUGACGGGUUGACAGGUGCAAGAAACCACCAUGACACAUGUACACCUAUGUAACAAACCUGCACAUUCUGCACAUGUAUCCCAGGAUUUAAAGCAAAAA